AAUUGAAGAGUUUGAUCAUGGCUCAGAUUGAACGCUGGCGGCAGGCCUAACACAUGCAAGUCGAACGGUAGCACAGAGAGCUUGCUCUCGGGUGACGAGUGGCGGACGGGUGAGUAAUGUCUGGGAAACUGCCCGAUGGAGGGGGAUAACUACUGGAAACGGUAGCUAAUACCGCAUAACGUCGCAAGACCAAAGUGGGGGACCUUCGGGCCUCACACCAUCGGAUGUGCCCAGAUGGGAUUAGCUAGUAGGUGGGGUAACGGCUCACC
rnacentral:rRNA from 3 species